rnacentral:rRNA from 1 species
UGGGGAAUAUUGCACAAUGGGCGCAAGCCUGAUGCAGCCAUGCCGCGUGUGUGAAGAAGGCUGUCGGGUUGUAAAGCACUUUCAGCGGGGAGGAAGGCGUUAAGGUUAAUAACCUUGGCGAUUGACGUUACCCGCAGAAGAAGCACCGGCUAACUCCGUGCCAGCAGCCGCGGUAAUACGGAGGGUGCAAGCGUUAAUCGGAAUUACUGGGCGUAAAGCGCACGCAGGCGGUCUCUCAAGUCGGAUGUGAAAUCCCCGGGCUCAACCUGGGAACUGCAUUCGAAACUGGCAAGCUAGAGUCUUGUAGAGGGGGGUAGAAUUCCAGGUGUAGCGGUGAAAUGCGUAGAGAUCUGGAGGAAUACCGGUGGCGAAGGCGGCCCCCUAGACAAAGACUGACGCUCAGGUGCGAAAGCGUGGGGAGCAAACAGG